GGCGAACGCUGGCGGCGUGCUUUACACAUGCAAGUCGAACGGAAAGGCCCUGCUUUUGUGGGGUGCUCGAGUGGCGAACGGGUGAGUAACACGUGAGUAACCUGCCCUUGACUUUGGGAUAACUUCAGGAAACUGGGGCUAAUACCGGAUAGGAGCUCCUGCUGCAUGGUGGGGGUUGGAAAGUUUCGGCGGUUGGGGAUGGACUCGCGGCUUAUCAGCUUGUUGGUGGGGUAGUGGCUUACCAAGGCUUUGACGGGUAGCCGGCCUGAGAGGGUGACCGGCCACAUUGGGACUGAGAUACGGCCCAGACUCCUACGGGAGGCAGCAGUGGGGAAUAUUGCACAAUGGGCGGAAGCCUGAUGCAGCAACGCCGCGUGCGGGAUGACGGCCUUCGGGUUGUAAACCGCUUUCGCCUGUGACGAAGCGUGAGUGACGGUAAUGGGUAAAGAAGCACCGGCUAACUACGUG
rnacentral:rRNA from 1 species